rnacentral:rRNA from 1 species
UGCAGUCGAACGGUAACAGGCCGCUGGGAUCCCUUCGGGGUGACCUUGGCGCUGACGAGUGGCGGACGGGUGAGUAAUGCAUAGGAAUCUGCCCAGUAGUGGGGGAUAACGUGGAGAAAUCCACGCUAAUACCGCAUAUGUCCUACGGGACAAAGCAGGGGACCUUCGGGCCUUGCGCUAUUGGAUGAGCCUAUGUCGGAUUAGCUAGUUGGUAGGGUAAAAGCCUACCAAGGCAACGAUCCGUAGCUGGUCUGAGAGGAUGAUCAGCCACACUGGGACUGAGACACGGCCCAGACUCCUACGGGAGGCAGCAGUGGGGAAUAUUGCACAAUGGGCGCAAGCCUGAUGCAGCAAUGCCGCGUGUGUGAAGAAGGCCUGCGGGUUGUAAAGCACUCUUAUUAGGAAAGAAAAACCCGGAGCUAAUACCUCCGGCAUUGACGGUACCUAAAGAAUAAGCACCGGCUAACUAAGUGCCAGCAGCCGCGGUAAUACUUAGGGUGCAAGCGUUAAUCGGAAUUACUGGGCGUAAAGCGAGUGUAGGCGGCUGCGUAAGUCGGAUGUGAAAGCCCCGGGCUCAACCUGGGAAUUGCAUUCGAAACUGCGUAGCUAGAGUUUGGUAGAGGUAAGUGGAAUUCCGGGUGUAGCGGUG